CCCUUAGAUGUUCUGGGCUGCACGCGCGCUACACUGAUGUACUCAACGAGUUUACGACCUUGUCCGAGAGGAUUGGGUAAUCUUUUUAAAAUGCAUCGUGAUGGGGAUAGAUUAUUGCAAUUAUUAAUCUUCAACGAGGAAUUCCUAGUAAGCGCGAGUCAUCAGCUCGUGCUGAUUACGUCCCUGCCCUUUGUACACACCGCCCGUCGCACCUACCGAUUGAAUGGUCCGGUGAAAUCUCGGGACGGCGGCUUGGUCGCUUGCGUCCGACUGCUGAAACUUGAUUAAACCAUAUCAUUUAGAGGAAGGUGAANUCGUANCA
rnacentral:rRNA from 1 species